UUGGUCCUAAACUUGCCAUUGUUUUUAAUAAAAAUUACACAUGCAAGUCUCAAUAUACCAGUGAGAAUGCCCACAAACCCCUAAACAGAAAACAGGAGCAGGCAUCAGGAACAACCACUAUUUGCCUAUAACGCCUUGCUACGCCACACCCACAAGGGCCAUCAGCAGUGAAAAACAUUAAGAGAUAAGCGAAAGCUUGACUUAGUUAUUAUUAAAUUGGUCGGUAAAUUUCGUGCCAGCCACCGCGGUUAUACGAAAGACCAGAAACAAUGACCAACGGCGUAAAGAGUGACAAUAGGUACCAAUUUAAAGGGUAACCGCAACAAAGUUGUAAAAUACCACCGACUGCAAGAUCACCAAACAAACCUUUAAGCCACUUAACCUCACGAAAGCUAAGAAACAAACUGGGAUUAGAUACCCCACUAUGCCUAGCCGUAAACAAAGACAGUACAAACACAAUACUGUCCGCCAGAGAACUACAAGCAAAAGACUCAAAACUCCAAGGACUUGGCGGUGCCCCACAUCAACCUAGAGGAGCCUGUCCUAUAAUCGACACCCCCCGAUCUACCUCACCCCCCUUUGAAUCUCAGCCUAUAUACCGCCGUCGUCAGCCUACCUUAUGAAAGAAGCGAAGUGAGCAAAACAGUCACCAACUAAAACGCCAGGUCAAGGUGUAGCACAUAGGGCGGAAGAGAUGGGCUACACUCUCUUACUUAGAGAACACGAACAGCACAAUGAAACACUGCUAGAAGGCGGAUUUAACAGUAAGAUAGACAAGAGAACCUAUCUUAAACAAGCCCUGGGGCGCGCACACACCGCCCGUCACCCUCAUCA
rnacentral:ncRNA from 1 species